GUUUCUCUAUCGAGGGUCCAUCCCAGGCCAAGAUCGAGUGCGAUGACCGCGGUGACGGCUCGUGUGACGUGCGCUAUUGGCCGACGGAGGCGGGCGGUUACGCGGUGCACGUGGUGUGCGACGAGCAGGACAUCGCGGGCAGCCCCUUCAUGGCCAACAUCCGACCUGCCGCCCCCGAGUGCCUCCCGGAGCAGGUGAGGGCACCGCAACACGCGUGUCGUCACAUGUCAGCAUAUAUGGCAUCCCGUGUCAUUUUAUAUGGCAUCCCAUGUAAUUCUGUAUGGCAUCCCGUGUCAUCCCAUGUCGUCCUGUGUCAUCCCAUGUCACUCUAUAUGUCAUCAGUGUCAUUCUAUAUGUCAUCCCUUGUCAUCCCGUAUGUCAUAUGUCAUCCUGUGUCAUUCUGUAUGUCAUCCUGUGUCAUCCCGUGUCAUCCCAUGUCAUUCUAUAUGUCAUCCCAUAUGAUCCUAUGUCAUUCUAUAUGGCAUCCCGUGUCAUCCCAUGACAUUCUAUACAUCAUCCCAUAUGUCAUCCCGUAUGUCAUCCCAUGUUGUCUCAUGUCAUCAUAUAUGUCAUCCUGUGUUAUCCUGUGUCGUCCCAUGUCAUUCCAUGUCAACAUAUAUGUCAUCCCGUGUCAUCCCAUGUCAUCCCAUGUCAUCAUAUAUGUCAUCCCGUGUCGUCCCCUGUCGUCCCAUGUCAUCAUAUAUGUCAUCCCUUGUCAUCCCAUGUCAUUCCAUGUGUCAUCCCAUGUAAUUCUAUAUGGCAUCCCAUGUCAUCCCGUGUCAUCCAAUGUCAUCCCUUGUCAUUCUAUAUGUCAUCCCAUGUCAUCCCGUAUGUCAUAUGUCAUCCCAUGUCAUUCUAUAUGGCAUCCCUUGUCAUCCCGUAUGUCAUAUGUCAUCCUGUGUCAUUCUUUAUGGCAUCCCAUGUCAUCCCAUGUCAUUCUAUCUGUCAUCCCAUGUCAUCCCAUGUCAUUCUAUAUGUUAUCCCUUGUCAUCCCAUGUCAUCCCAUAUGUCAUCCCGUAUGUCAUCCCAUAUGUCAUCCCGUGUCAUCCCGUGUCAUCCCAUGUCAUUCUAUACGUCAUCCCAUAUGUCAUCCCAUAUGUCAUCCCAUAUGUCAUCCCGUGUCAUCCCGUGUCGUCCCAUGUCAUCAUAUAUGUCAUCCCUUGUCAUCCCAUGUCAUUCCAUAUGUCAUCCCUUGUCAUUCUAUAUGGCAUCCCAUGUUAUCCCUUGUCGUCUCGUAUGUCUUAUGUUAUCCCAUGUCAUUCUAUAUGUCAUCCCAUGUCAUCCCGUGUCAUUCUAUAUGUCAUCCCAUGUUAUCAUGUAUGUCAUAUGUCAUCCUGUGACGUCCCAUGUCAUUCUAUAUGUCAUCCCUUGUCAUCCCGCGUGUCAUAUGUCAUCCCAUGUCACCUCACGUCAUCCCGUGUCAUCCCAUGCCAUCCCAUGCCAUCCCAUGCCAUCCCAUGGCAUCCCAUGCCAUCUCAUGUCAUUCCAUGGCAUCCCAUGUCAUCCCAUGUCCCUUUGUGUCACCCCACGUACCUCCCAUCCCCUUCUGUCCCCCCAUGUUCCACCUAUGUCCCUUUUUGUCCCCCCCAUGUUCCCCCCCAUAUCCCACUGUGACCACCCCACGUCCCCCCAUGUCAAUCUAUGUUCCCCCCAUGCCCUUUUUGUAACCCCCUCCCAUGUCACCUUAUGUCCCCCCUCAUCCCUUUUAUGUCCCUCUCAUCCCCCCCCCCCUAU
rnacentral:lncRNA from 1 species